GGAGUUGUGGCUCAGUGGCAGAGCGCUUGCCUAGCAAGUGUGAGGCACAGGGUUCGAUCCUCAGCCCCA
rnacentral:tRNA from 1 species